rnacentral:rRNA from 1 species
AUUGAACGCUGGCGGCAUGCCUUACACAUGCAAGUCGAACGGUAAUAGGUUAAGCUGACGAGUGGCGAACGGGUGAGUAAUAUAUCGGAACGUGCCCAGUCGUGGGGGAUAACUGCUCGAAAGAGCAGCUAAUACCGCAUACGACCUGAGGGUGAAAGCGGGGGAUCGCAAGACCUCGCGCGAUUGGAGCGGCCGAUCUCAGAUUAGGUAGUUGGUGGGGUAAAGGCCCACCAAGGCAACGAUCUGUAGGUGGUCUGAGAGGAGGACCAGCCACACUGGGACUGAGACACCGCCCAGACUCCUACGGGAGGCAGCAGUGGGGAAUUUUGGACAAUGGGCGCAAGCCUGAUCCAGCCAUGCCGCGUGCGGGAAGAAGGCCUUCGGGUUGUAAACCGCUUUUGUCAGGGAAGAAAAGGUUCUGGUUAAUACCUGGGACUCAUGACGGUACCUGAAGAAUAAGCACCGGCUAACUACGUGCCAGCAGCCGCCGCAG